AUCUGUUUUUUCCCGAUUAGCGAGGUCAUUAACUCAAAAAACAGGCGUUGCCGUCGCCUCGCCAGACGCCGGCGCGGGCUCAUGGCCCAAACUCCAAUCAACGCCUCGUCGCCUGUUGUAUGGCGCGGCGGCGACUUGGCGACGGGCGGGCGAUCCGGUGCGCGAUUUUGGCGGCCAAGGCGCCAAAGAUGGCGCGAAAUCCCCUUGGGCGCGCGCUCUUUCCCUCCCCCUUUUAUCCUUCCCUCUCCUUCACAAUCCAUUGCAGGAGCUUGGUCCUUCCCGGCGGCGCAAUGGGGUCAGAGAACCUGCAAUCCGCAGCAGCGGCGUGUGAGCUCUUAGCUGCGUCGAUGGCGCGCCAGCGGAAGGAUAUAGCGGCGCGGGCACGGGCUCAAAAGCUCGGAACAUCGUCGAUGGCGACGGCGGCGCACGGGAGGAAAGCUGCGACGGCAGUGCAGGAGCGGGGUCGUCCGCCCGUAGAGAAAAAUUUCACCGGUCGAAGGCUUGUUGGUAACCCAACCUUUGGCGCCCCCCCAAGAUCGACCGGUGGCGGGGCGGCGGUAUGUUUCCGGCCACCCCAAGGUCCAAUGCGGCAUGAGCUUCUCCAGCAGCCCCAACCUGACUUCGUCGACCAUGGCGCGGCAUCAAUCACAGUCUCAACCAUGGAUUCAUGCCGAUUCCAAAGAAUGUUCCACCAGGUGGCUUCAUGCAAAUGUUUGAAGACCAAAAAUGAAAAUUCUCACUUUGUUGGAAGAAGCUCUCACUCUGCCCCCUUCAUGCCACCAAUUGAAGAAUCAGCCACUCCACCAGCACAUGGUAAUCACAUUAUGGACAAUGAUCUAAUUGGUAGGACUGAUAAGCGUAUUCUCUGGACGUAAGAAGAAGAUUUAAGACUAAUGAACGUUUGGUUGAAGAACUCGGUGGACUCUAUUAGCGGUAAUCAGAAAAGGAAUGAGUAGUAUUGGGGUGAUGUUGCUAGGACAUACAACGUCACAACGUCGAGUCAUAGGCAGAGGAACAUGAAGCAAGUAAAAGAUAGAUGGCACAGGAUUAACAAGUGGAUGGACCUGUUUCAUUGUGCCUGGUUGAAAGCUCGUAGAUUUAAUACAAACGGGUGGAAUGACCAGAUGUGGAUUGAUCAAGCCCACAAGCUUUACGAGGACGACAACAAGGAUCUCAAGCUAGGACAUUUUGUGUUGAUGAAUGUUUCGUAUGCUGUCAGGAAUGAGCCAAAAUGCCAAACCUACAGUGAUGGCCUUAGAAAUGCACACAAAAGGAAGACAACAGACCAGGGAACUGAAGAUGCAAGGGAAGAAGUGGAGCCUUAUGAUGUCUCUGACAAACCUAGACCUCUCUGACAAACCUAGACCACUUGGUCAAAAAGCAGCAAAGAGGGCAGCAUAUGAAGCAAAGGUUCAGUCUAUGUCUUCGUCAACAGAAGACGCAGAUGUUAGAAUCCUCAAAGAAGCUCAAGCAAAAAGACUGUAGGUACUGGAAGUGCAACAGAAAUUAUCAGCAGAGAGGUUGGAGUCAUCAAAGAUUGCCCAUUGUUGACGGUCAUUAAGUACCAUUUCUGACCGUCAACUAGACUCAAUAAUAAAGGAAAAUCUAUACACCUUGCUCACAUUUAUGUUUCACUAACUUAGUUCCACAAUUAUUUUGAGUUUGUAUGAUUUCAGAGGAGCAAGAGCGAAAUAAGAAGAAAACACGACGAAGACGCCCCGCAACUACACAAAAGAUCGCAAUCGGCGUCACUCCCUUACAAGAAGGGCCCACCUGGCAGAGCAAACGAGGGCGCCACGAAAUUUGCAUGAGAGGAUAAGGUUGUGGGCCCACAGAUCAGCCUGCCAGAGAAGGAUGAGAUCAGCCUGCCAGAGAAGGAUGAGGACGAGAGGUGGCAAGGUGGGGCCGGCCGCACCUGGCCGACCUCCCGUCCAGGUGCAUUUCGAGGAGUCGUCGCGGCCAAGGCACCUGAUCACCUUCCAUAUGUGCAGAUGGCGGGAAACUGACCUCCACUAGUAUAAAUAGGGCCCCCUCUCACCCCUCACAACACACACACACCAUUUCACACCCUCUCUCUCUCAAGGCUCUCUCUCUCUCUUGCUCUUAGUGUAGGAUAGUGGAGCUAGGCUAGUUUUAUUUUAGCGAAUCAAGUCGUCCUUGUAGUCAUUGAGCGAUCCUCGACUCUUGGUAUGGCUUUGUAUUCUUUCUGUCAGUACUCUAUUCAUAAUAUAGAGUUCGUUCAUGGUUGCUAUGCUAUCUUGAUAGUUUAUCAAUCCAUGCUUAUGUUCAUCAUGAGUUGUGUGACGAAUAUGGUUAGGCCAGAUGUUUGGGGGUUGGAUAAUGGUUCGUUGUGCUUUCGGGCUUGCUCUAGUGCUUUGUUUGGCCAUCCAAAGGGUGGGAGCCCUGAGGGCAUUAGAGCAGUGACCUCAUACACGAGCGUGGUGCUCGGGUAUGCGGGAUUCAGCGGAUAUUCCCGUGCUCCACGGUAUAAAAGGGGUAGACAGCAUGAGGUGACAGUCAUGUCCGUCCGUCGUAACAACAGUUGUUGCAUUUAGCAAAGUCCCCGACGUUCGGGUUCGGUGUAGGAGGUACAUAAAGAGGUAACGGGAUUGGACGUCCUCCAGUGUCGCUGCCAUCCUUUGGGAAAAUAUAAAUCACGAUACUCUUACUCUCCAGGUGAAAUACAACAACAGUAUAUCCGUGUACUUGCGGAUCCCAUCUCUAAUCGUAUAGACUAUACCACGAGAGUGGCAGUCCUUGGUGCAGUUGUUAGGGAUGGGCUUAACACCCCCGUUCCUAGUGAUUAUGCCAAGGAAAGUCAACACGCAUUUCUGGCGCCGUUACCGGGAACUAACCCCUCCUGGUGGCGACGUUAAGAAAUGCCAACAAGCAUUUCUAGCGCCGUUGCCGGGGAUUAACCCCUCCUGGUAGCGACGUUAAGAAAUGCCAACAAGCAUUUCUGGCACCGUUGCCGGGGAUGGCAUGUGAACAAAGUUAUUGUGUUGAUAUUAAUCUAGGCUUCGUACUCAAGAUAUAGUCAUUACUCUUUCAGGCUAAUGUCACUUUAUGUCUUCUUUUAUUUUUGAUUUGAAAGAAGACAGAGGUAGUGUAUGACCGGUUUCUCUCUGCCGGAAAACUACACAGAAAAUCCAGAGAAGCUUGUGAGAAGGUCACGACCUCGCGUCGUUCCUCCUCCCGCUACUCUCCCAGUACAGAAACCCAGUUCGGAAGCACCAACUGUUCCUGAGGCUAUGGCUGAGAAAACUCUCCGCGAGUUCUUCGCCCCCUCCACCGCCAAUGUGGCUACUGGACCCAGCGUCAACGUUGGGAACGUCAACUUUGAACUCAAAUCCAUCCUCAUCAACAUGGUGCAGGCUAGCCCAUUUUGUGGCAAGCCGAAUGAGGACGCUAAUGGUCAUAUGCAGAAUUUUUUGGAGCUUUGCGACACUGUGGUGAUACGGGGUGUCGCCGCCAAUGUUAUCAAGCUAAGGUUGUUUCCCUUUUCCCUACUGGGAAAGGCGAAAUAGUGGUUUUACAAGGAGAAAGACAUCGACACCUGUGACAAAUGCUCCAAGGCGUUCCUUGCAAAAUUCUUCCCACUGGGCAAGACGAAUGCCCUGCGCGGGAAGAUAUCAAGUUUCCAACAGACAGGGAUGGAAUCCAUCCCGGAAGUCUUGGAAAGGCUGCAAGAAUGCAUCACAGCCUGUCCUCAUCAUGGGAUGGACGAAUGGCUCGUCCUACAAAGCUUCUACAAUGGGCUAACAAUGACAUCUCAAGCCCAUAUUGAUGCUGCUGCUGGAGGAGCUUUUCUCGACAUGACCAUCACGAAAGCGAAAGCUUUGGUCGAGAAAAUGGUCUCCAAUCAGGGGUGGAGCGAAGAACGACUCCAACCCCGGACGAAGGGCAUGCAUACCAUUAAGAAAACGGAUAUGAUCGUUGCCAAGCUGGACCUCCUUCCGAAGCACCUCAGCGAAAGGGCCGAAUUCAAGAAACAUAGAGAAAACUACGCCCAAGCCAUGAGUUUGCACUUCACGUGCGAAGUCUGUGGCAACGAUGGACACUCGGGAAACGACUGCCCCGAGACCCGUGAAGACUGUGUGUACCUCAACAACAACAACGAGUAUCGUCCACCACAAGGAGGCCAGGGCUGGAACCAGCCGCGUCCACCAUUUCAAGGAGGUAACAAUUACAACUCUUCUUUUUAUUCGAAUUUCAAUUCGAACCAACCUCCCCUAAGAGAAUUAGUGUUAGGCCAAGCUAAAAUUAAUUAAAAUAUAAAUAAAAAGCUCUUGGCCAACGAUAAAACCCUGGAAAGUUUAAAUGUUAAAAUUGAAAUUUUGUCUUCAACUCUUAAAAAUCAAUUAAGUUUUAAUAAAAUGAUAGAAACCCAACUUGCACAAAUUGCUGCAUCUCUUUACCUGCCGUUGAAAAUGGGAAGAUCCCAGGGCAACCUGAGACUCCCGUAGAAAAUGUCAGCAUGGUGUUCACCAGAUGGGGUAACCCGUCUCGGCGAUCAUCACGUACUAACCAUGCAGGUAGGCGCAACCCCCCCCCCCCAAAGAACGACUCACGGGAUGGCCUAGUGGCAGCAGUGCAGGAAGAUCCAGGGGUCCCCAUGAUCAGCUGCUCGAUCUACGACAAACACUACGAGCAAUGCCUUUGUGAUCUGGGGUCAAGUGUAAAUAUAAUAUCCAAGGUAAUCUUCGAAGAACUUCAUUACCCUGCUCUUUCCCCAACGUCCAUGCUCGUGCAGCUUGCAGAUUCAACAACUCGAUACCCUGAGGGGGUAGUCGAAAAUAUGCUCGUACGAGUUAAUGGUUCCUUCAUCCUCGCCAACUUUACGGUAAUGGACAUGGAGGGCGACCUCGGAAUGCACCUCAUACUCGGGUGGCCAUUCCUAAGGGCCGCCGAGGCAAGGAUCGACGUCGGAAAAGGAGAAAUCCAAUUCCGUGUCGGUAAGGAGGAUAUGUUCUUCAGGUUUAAACACAGGGAAGAGCAGCGCUUCCUGAUUUGCCAGGAUAGCGAGGGGCAAGCACUCUAGGGUGAACCACUCCCCCAGCCGGAACCACAACUGACCACAUCCAGAAGAAGAAGAUCGAAGAAGAUGUGGCAGAAAGUCGAGAGUACGGCUUCGUCCAAUUCUCUAGGACAAGCCGAACGUUGGUAAAACAACGCUGGAGAAAAGUCUUGCACGUCGAACUUUAAAUGAUGCAUCCUCACCACAGGUAAAUGGUACUUAUCUCAUAUUUAAUUUUUUCCGCCAUUUGGUUUUUCCACCUUUUUGAAUUUUCUCCACUUCAUGAUUUAAAAAUAAAAGCACAAAAAUAUUUUCCUGCAUGUUGGAGUUUUUUCUAGCACUUCUCUUUUUACAAAAAUACCAAAAAUAUUUUCUGAGUUUCAAAAUCCCUGGGAAAAAUUAUUUGAAUAUCUUUCCGAGCAAAGUUCUGAACAUGCACUAGAUUUUCAAAAUUUGUUACCGUUACAAAGGAAUCUGGCCAAAGGGGUGCUCCAGGGGGCCCACCCUGGGGUCGGCCGACCCCACAGGUCGGCCGACCCAGGGCCAACGGCUCCUGGGCCCCACCUUCUCCAACGGCUACAUGACCGUUGUGGCCGGCCACUCCUUGGGUGCAUACUUCAGAUUGCCUUUAAAUAGAGGCCGAGAAGGGGGUGUGAUGCUAUCAUGCUCUCUCUCACUCUCACUCCCUCUCACAAAUUCUUGCUCAGGUUUUCAUUGGAUUUUGGCUCAAGUUUGAUUUCAAGAAAUCUCUCUCUCAUUUUUUUGCUGCAAGAACAACCACACACUUGGAGGAACAACUUUUGAGUAAAAGUUUCAUUUUCAUUUCACUAACAUAACCCGAACCGAGUUGUUUUUGGUUCGUUCUCGUUCGUUCUUAUUGCAAGCAUGAAGGGUGUAGAACGGAAGAUAUCCGGAGCUUUCAAAAAGAUGACGGGGUCAAGCUCAUCCCGUUCAAGGGGUGGGUUGAGCUCCCGUCAUUCUCCCGAGCCUACACCAACACCAACAACGAUGGACUAUGAGCAAGACGGACAAUACGAAUCAAUGGAGGAGCAAGCUGCGGAACCGCAAGCCGAGGACAUGGAGAUUGAUGAUGAAGAUGCACCGUACCUCGACUUGCGAAGUGAUCGCGAACGUCAAGCCUACGCCAUGAUCAAGCGUCGGAGCUUUGGUCAUACCAGAGCCUUCGACCCGGACCUCCUCGAGAAAACAGGUAUGGACAUUGACUUUGCUAAUGUUUGGCAUGCGGUUGGAUGGGAUGACUUUUUGCCCGUUGAGGAGAAUGGUUCUCGUCUCCUCAUCAUCCAGUUUCUUUGCACAGUACGGGAGGAGGCUAAUGGUGUUCGUUUCUGAUUAUUUGGAAAUGAAUACUAUUAUACUUGGCGAGAUUUCAGCCACCUCCUUGGUUUUAGUGACCGUUUACCAGUUUCCCUUGACAAAUCUUGCCGCGGUUUUGAUCGACAUGAGUUUUGGGGAUUGAUUUCGGGUCAAGUUGUUCAUGGAAAGUUUGCACCUCAGUGCAAUGACAUUCAGAAUCCGACUCUUCGUUUAAUGCACAAGUGGGUGGUUAUGACUCUCUUUUCAAGAGAUGAUCCACGACCAGUGCGGAACGAUGAGUUGAAAAUAUUAUAUGCCAUGGUCAAUAAGAUCCGAGUCUCCCUCACAAGAGCAAUGGUUAAUCAAUGGCUUACAAAUUUCAGGAUGACGGGUCCUAUUGAGUGCACUUCUUUGGUUACCCGCAUCGUAUCAAACAUGGACAUCUUAGAGGGGAACGCUGUUCCUUUCAUUGAGGAUGACCGUGUCUUGAUCAAUGAGUUUUAUUUGGUUCAAGGCCACAUACUCAAGAAAGGCCCGAAUGAUUCCUUGAUUUUCUUUUCCUUAGGUUAUUCAAAUGAAAUUCCAAUGCCAAAUGCGGAAUAUCAUUUGUAUUAACUGUUGUUCGAUAACCACGCCUCUUAUUCCACAAGAGGUAGCCCGUCAGCAUAGUAUUUCUGGUUUACCUGGCAGGAUUACGAGAAGCAGGGCCAGAACGGAAGAAAUGCAGCAGCCACAACCACAGCCUUCACAUCAUCAUGAGGCAGGUGGUUCGACGUGGUAGAGUGCGAGAUCCAGUGAGUGGGCACGGCUGGCCCUAGGGCGCCGGUCCACCAGUUCCAGCUCUAGUGGGAUUCCACCCACCGCCCGACAUUCAGCUUCGUCCAGAGGGUUCAGCUCUCUUACUCAGUAGCUGGGCGAGCUGAACGUCCGCACCAACAACAUCGACGAAUCGGUUGGCUAGCAUAUUCAGUCCACCCAGGACUGGCAGCGACACACAGGCGAGAGGAUCCACAACAUGGAGCAGCGGCAGUUGCAGCUACAGGAGGAGUGGAGGGCUCACUACCGGUGGGCUGGGUUUAAUCCCAACCAACAGCAGUGAGUCUGAAGCUAGCUUGGGAGAGGACCCCCACGAGAGGUAACUUGUAUCAAACUCUAUCUUUACCGCUUUCAUAAACUUGCAUGAAACAAAAUAAAAAUUUGCAAAACCUAUAAAAUCCAUAAAAAUUUGCAUAACUAAAAUCAAAUAAAAAUUUACAAAACUUUGAAAACCCAAAAAUAUUUACUGUUUUUUAAUAUGUGUAGUAAGCAUGUGUAGUUUUCCAUGUUUAGAUGAUGAAUAGUUGCUCUGUCAGUUCCUCUCGUAUGCCUAGUUACAACUUUAUGCUCUACCUAGUUUUGAGUUUGGUGGCUAAUGUUCAAACCUUAAGCUUGAAACUUGUGGGUAACGGAAAGCAAAACCAAGUCUAGGUUGUUGUGGGCUAUGCUAUGGUUGAGUAGAGUUGCUAUGAUCUUCGCCUACGUGAUGCUUGAUAUCCGGAGUAUUUGUUUUCCAAAACACAAAAAUAAAAUAAAGUUCCUCAAUGAUAUGAAAUUUCUAUCCAAAGUCAUAUGAGUUACUGUAAGGAUCACCGGGGUGUCCGACCCUAGAGGGGGAGGGGGUGAAUAGGGUCGCUAAUCGCUUUUCUAUCCUAGGGCUCAAUCUAAUUGUAUAAGAUAAACCUAACACGUCCUACACAUGCUAGUUAUGAUUAAGGUUUAUCUAUGCUACCCUCUACUUACCCCAAAAGACUUGCCACCUAUAACCAAUCCUAAUCAAACUAACUAGGAAAGUAAAGUUAAGCAAGAAAGAGUAAAUACGGAAACGUAAUGCGGUAAGUAAAGCGGUAAGGGAGAGGAUAUGCAAACUCCCGUGAUGACACCAAGACACACGAUUUAACGUGGUUCGGUUAGGACACCAAAGUCCCUCCCUACGUCCACGGCCACUUGCUCACAAAGAACAAGUGUGAUGCCGAGUCUCUUCGCUUGAUCACCGUCUUGCCACGCCUCCAAGGCUCCCGACAAGCAAAGGCUAAGUGACGCCAAGUCACAAAGACGAGGUCACCGCCACCGUCUAUCUCGAAGCAUCACCGCGGCACCGUCUUCACUAUCUUGGAGCUUUAACACCAAGUAGGGGCCUCCUUCCCCGCACAAAGUGUCGUUGCCACUCCACACCAAGUCGGAGGGUCACACGACGAGUACACAAGGUGCUUACCGCAGCAAGGCUUUCUCUCAAGCUAGUUCUCUCAAGAACUAAGCCUAAACAAGCACUAAGCACUCUCACAAAUGUGCUUAAGCCUAUAUGAUGUACAAUGAAGCUCUAUGGUGGUUGGAGAUGAUCUUUAACUCUUGUAUACUUCCUUGAACUCCAGCACACUCAAAUGACCCGGCCUUGGGGGUAUAUAUAGGCAGCACAAGUAAAUAUAGCCGUUGGAGAAAAGCUGCCAGAAAUGUGCUUAACGCCGGUUAAUCCGACGUACCCCAAAAGCCAUCGUCGGUUCAACCGGUGUAUGUAAACUGCUACUUGAAAAACUAGCCGUUAGCAAUUAAUCGGUGUAUCGCCGGUUUAACCGAUGCAAUCAACCGGUGUAUGUAAAAUUAGCGUCGGUUUAACCGGUGAUUGUAACUUCUUCACGUUCCUCCAAAAACCAACUCUCUGGACAACUGAACCGAUGCAAUUGACCGAUGCAUCGUCGGUUCAACCGGUGUAUGUAAUUUCAUCGGUCUUCAUCUGCCAAUGCACCGACGUAUACAUUUUCUUCAACGUCGGUUAAUCCGGUGUAAAACCUUAGCCCGCAGACCUUCUCUGUGAUUGCACCGGUGAGUUCAUUUUGGCCUACGUCGGUUUAACCGAUGAUAGUAAAAUGCCUCAAAUCUUGUCCCUUGGACCGAAGGGUGGGAGCCCGGGGGGCAUUAGAGUAGUGACCUCAUACACGAGCGUGGUGCUCGGAUAUGCGGGAUCCAGCGGGUAUUCCCGUGCUCCACGGUAUGAAAGGGGUAGACAGCAUGAGGUGACAACCAUGUCCGUCCGGCGUAACAACAGUUGUUGCGUUUAGCGAAGUCCCCGACGUUCGGGUUUGGUGUAGGAUGUACAUAAAGAGGUAACGGGACUGGAUGUCCUCCAGUGCGGGACCUUCUCCCCUUAUCCUUUUGGAAAAAGUCUAUAUCACCCCCUCACCUAUGGGGGCUGGACUACAUAACCCCCCAAACUAUGAAAUAGUCUAUAUUACUCACCUGAAUUUUUCAAAACCGGUCAAAUUACCCUCCUAAAGCAAUUUCGAAAAAUUAUAGUAAAUCACAGAAAAAUCAUAAAAUAAAAAAUUCAAUUGUGUUGGACUCCAAAUGAGUAGAUCUACACAGUGAACAUAUAAUAUGGUAUGCUUAGUAUAUUUUUUUACAGCUAUGAAGAAAAACAUAGAUUUAAAGAUACAGCAAAAAAUAUACUAAAGCAUACCAUAUUAUAUGUUAACUGUGUAGAUCUACUCAUUAGGAGUCUAACACAAUUGGAUUUUUUAUUUUAUGGUUUUUCUGUGAUUUACUAUGAUUUUUCAAAGCUACUUUAGGGGAUAAUUUGACCGGUUUUGGAAAGUUCAGGGGGGUGAUAUAGACCGUUUCAUAGGUUGGGAGGGUUAUGUAGUCCACCCCCUAUAGGUGAGGGGGUGAUAUAGACUUUUUCCUAUCCUUUUUCCUGAUGUCUGCAACCUAAACCAUGUUCUAACAUAACUUUUGCUUUGAAUAGAUACACUAGGACACCGAACCUAGCUCAAGCUCCAGCUAACUUAACAUAAGAUAGUUUAGUUUGUUCUUUUCUCUCUUUCUUCCUUGGGUGGUGAAUGUGUGAUCGUGUCACGUUACCCUGCUUUAUCUUCUUUAUCAAGGUUUACCCCUGCUAGAGUUUUGCCUAUUACAUGAGGAACGUUGUCAUGAUUAAUGUUAAGUACAGUACCUUUGCCACUGCCAUCCUUUGGGAAAAUAUAAAUCACGAUACCCUUACUCUCCGGGUGAAAUGCUAUAAUGGUAUAUCCGUGCGCUUGCGGAUCCCAUCUGUAAUUGUAUAGACUAUACCACGAGAGUGGCAGUCCGUGGUGCAGUUGCUAGGGAUGGGCUUAACACCCCCGUUCCUAGUGAUUAUGCCAAGGAAAGUCAAUACGCGUUUCUGGCGCCAUUACCGGGAACUAACCCCUCCUGGUGGCGACGUUAAGAAAUGCCAGCAAACAUUUCUGGCACCAUUGCCGGGGACUAACCCCUCCCCCUGGUGGCGACGUUAAGAAAUGCCAACACCCAUCAAGCAGCAAAUGAGCACAAAGAUGGCAAACUUGCUGAGAAGGAAGCCAAGACUCUGGAGGUUAAAGCCAAAAUGAUGGAGACUUAUAACUGUCUUCUUCUGAAACAUACUGGGCUCAUGACGUAUGAGGAAAAGGUUGACCAUGUUGGAACACUGAAGUAUUUGAAGAAGACAUUGUUUCCUGAUAUAUACUAAGGUGAGUUUCGGUAGAGAUACAUUUUUUGCCACAUUUUAUUGUUCUCUCAAACUCUGAGUAUAAACCUGUAUGGAGAUGCAUAAUCCCUGUCCUGUUUUCAGUUAGUCCUGUUUUUAGUCACUGAAUUCAAUUUUUUAACCUUUACCUUUUAAUCUUGUCUAUUGUUUUAGGUAUAUGACAUGUUUGGCAUUUCUGUUGACACCUUUCCCUGCAUGAUGUGGGUUGCAUCAACCUGUGUCAGAAUUAGUUCAGAGCUUAGAGUUCUUCCUGUGACAAAGCUUAGUUUAAGAUUAGUUCAGAGCUUAGGGUUCUUCAUAUGUCAGAAUUAUCAUGGAAUUAUUCUGUAAUCUUUUUUUUUGGCCUACAUGUCUGAACAUGCUUUUCUGAAUGUGUGUGAAUGGAGUAAAAUGAACAGGUUCAACCGGCCACUUCUGUCCUUUCUGAAUGUGUGUUUCAUUGGGUGUAUGAACAGGUUCUGGAAAAUGAACAGGUUGGGUAUAUUAACAGGUUCAGUCGGCCACAUGUGUCCUUUCAGUUUCUGUAACUGCAUAUGUAGUGUGGGCGUCAGUUAUCAUUCAGGGUGUGAACAGGUGGGAAUCCAUUAAAGGUGUGAAUGGGUUUCUGAAACUAAAGGUGUCAUGCGUGUGUGCAUGUGUGUGCGUAUGUACUUGUAGGUACUGUGCUUGUAGGUGCACAUCUUUUUUCCUGGGUACAACAUGUGCAUGGAAGAUAUGCAGGUCUGAGAAGUGGGGGUCUUCUUCCAGUAUCGGCUGGGAUCAUUUCUUUUCUGUGUUCACUGCUGCCAUGCCGAUUAAAGAAAGUGACAAAGGUAUGUCGACUGAAAUCAUAGGCUGCAUCUUGAUUGUGGUUCUCAUGCAUAGUUUCACUGCUCACUGUCAUCAGCAUCCUUUGUUUUACCCUUCUGUAACUAACAAUGCUUGAAUCAGAAACUGAGAUACAUCUGAUUUCUCAAUGCUUGUAGUGUGCAAUAGAGAAUGACAUAUAAACAUUCAGAAAGCAUUUUUACCACCAUGUCAUGGUUAAAACAAAAUGAAUUAUGGAGAUAUCUUUGCAAGAAUUAGAUCAAACCUUCCUAGUCGAGAUCAAUUUGUUAGUUACAGAUUUGAUUCCAAUGUUAAAGAUUAUUUUGCAGAGAAAGGUAUGCAUGUGUUCUGCACUUGGAAAUUCAGAAUAGAGAGGUAUGCGAUUCUGGAAUUGAACAGCUUAUUGAUAGUUGCUUGUUUGUUAUUGAUCUUUACCUGGGAUACAAUUCGACUAUGAAAAACAAAUCCCAGGAAAUGUGUACAAGUCAUGGCAGGACGAUGCAUCAAGUCUUGUCUCCAAAAGGUGUCAAGUAUACACUAUAUGUGCUUGUGUUACAGAUUUUUUUUUUAUUCAGUCAGAUGUUUGCAUGAACGACCGAAUCACAUCUUUAAAAUCAAUUUGCAGAAGUUUGAUCUUGUUGAGUCAAACAAUUUAAAUGAUAUCAUGAACAUGCCCCCAGUUGCUUUAUCUUACAUGGAAAAGUCAUGCACUGAUCUCUAUUAUCCGAAGCCACUUUUGCAACUAUGGAAGAAUUGCACUGAAGCUAUUUCUCCUGAAAGUUCAGAGUGUGAAGACAGUGGAGGGUUCAAUGUGCUUCCAGAUGCUGAUAGCACUGAAGCUAUUUCUCCCGAAGGUUCACAGAAUGAAGGCAAUGGAGGGUUCACUGUGCUUCCAGAUGAUGAAACCAAUGGCAGUGCACACGUUGAAGAGUUUGAUCCUGCUGAAAUAUAUACAAUGGAAGACUUUAUGGCUGAGGAAGAAAUCAUUGAGAAGAUAGAACUGAAAAUCAGUGACAGCAUCAAAGCAAGAACUGCUGCAGAUGCUUCUGGUCGUCGUAGUCACCGCCGCGGUGGAACAAGGAUAGUCAUUCCACGAAAUAGAGGCUGGUCACGAAGAUAUUGUAGCAAACUACUUCUCCGACAACCCCAUAUACACCGACAGGCAGUUCCGUCAAAGAUUUAGAAUGAAAAAGUCACCUUUCCUUCAAAUUGUGGAUGCUCUCGGCGAUUGGUCACCUUAUUUCAAGCAAAGAGUGGAUGCAACAUGUAGAUAUGGUCUGUCACAGCUACAAAAAUGUACAGCAGCCAUAAGAAUGCUAGCAUAUGGUGCCCCUGCUGAUGCUCUUGAUGAGGUUAUCAAAAUUGGCGAGCACGGCUUUGGAGUGUUUGGGUAAAUUUGCUGAAUGUGUGAUUGAAUGUUUUGGUCUAGAGUACUCGCGUCCUCCUAUGGCUGAAGUGCUUGAAAAGAUAUUGGAAGAGAAUGAGUCCCGUGGUUUUCUAGUGUUGACACUGUUUUUUGACACGUGUCAAGGAAGGUAAUUCUUGUGAAGGGAAGAUGGCCGAUUUGGAAGAAACCAAAAGAUACACAGGGUUGGAAUCAGCCAAUAGAGCUCGUCCGAUGGGCCAGAGGAAUAUUCUGCGAAGAUGCUGAUCCGCCACCUCUGGUGCUCAGCCGAUGGAGAGUUGCCGAUGAAGUCAAGGAAGGAGAAGAGGAUCCAGACUCUAC